rnacentral:lncRNA from 1 species
GUAGACAUCACCCAUAGUGAACAUUUUUCUUCUUGUUCCUAAAAUUGGAAUGAAAUGAGGAAUAACACAGAGAAGUAAGAAACAGAAGGAAAGAAGUAAGCUGAAGGAAACGUGGGAGGGAGAAGAUUUAAAAAGAAACUAAAAGAAAAAAGAAAAAAAAGAAGCAUAUCCAACUAGAUGACAGUUCAUCACAAACGACAACGGGCGGGCUGCUGAUGUAGGAAAGUUCCGAGGGAGGAAACGGUGCUAUAACCACAGGCAUUCACAGCCUACAUGUGUGAGCUCGAGUUACCUGAAUUCUCCAUUUGUAUUUGAAACUUAUUUUAAUCAGUGUUCUUCAAGGAGGUCAUGCACACUGGAUUCCAUGGUUGGACAUGCAAGUAAGGGAAGUGACUCAAGACAGCAGAAAGUAUUCAGACACAUACCAACAGGGAUGCAUCCAUGUAAUAAAGAGGAAAGACACACACCAACAGGGAUGCAUCCAUGUAAUAAAGAGGAAAGACACACACCAACAGGGAUGCAUCCAUGUAAUAAAGAGGAAAGACACACACCAACAGGGAUGCAUCCAUGUAAUAAAGAGGAAAGACACACACCAACAGGGAUGUAUCCAUGUAAUAAAGAGGAAAGACACAUACCAACAGUGAUGUAUCCAUGUAAUAAAGAGGAAAGACACACACCAACAGGGAUGCAUCCAUGUAAUAAAGAGGAAAGACACACACCAACAGGGAUGCAUCCAUGUAAUAAAGAGGAAAGGAGAAGGAGCUUUGAGCCAAGAAGCUCAUGACCUGAGAGGGAUUCUCGGGAUCUGUCUCUGACUCUCCACGGACCACAACCACUACCCAAGACCAUUCUUCAACUUCUUCAACUACUCUCUCUUUCCUAACUAACUAGUAUGUCUCGAGAGUGUAAGAUGGGACAGAUCUCACAUAGUGGUGAUAGGCUUGGGCAUUGAGGCUUCUUUGAGUAGGGCUUUCUACCUCUACAGUAACG